GGCUACACACGUGCUACAAUGGGUAGAACAGAGAGUCGCAAAGCUGUGAAGUGGAGCUAAUCUCAGAAAACUAUUCUUAGUUCGGAUUGUACUCUGCAACUCGAGUACAUGAAGUUGGAAUCGCUAGUAAUCGCGAAUCAGCAAUGUCGCGGUGAAUACGUUCUCGGGUCUUGUACACACCGCCCGUCACACCACGAGAGUUGGUUGCACCUGAAGUAGCAGGCCUAACCGUAAGGAGGGAUGUUCCGAGGGUGUGAUUAGCGAUUGGGGUGAAGUCGUAACAAGGUAUCCGUACGGGAACGU
rnacentral:rRNA from 1 species